rnacentral:sRNA from 1 species
GCUUGUGGCCUGGUCGGCGUCCCGUAGGGCGCCCUCCCGCGUUAGGCCGGCCGGCGUGGCGCUCGGCGCCGAACAGGCCCCGAGGAGGCCGCAGUUAGGCCUAGUGAUUAUCCAGUUGCCCUGAGCGGCUGCGGAGGUGCGCUCCGUAAGCGGGCAGGGUGGGAAAAGUUCGCCCGCUUGUCCGGAAGGCAGUUGAUGGACCUGGGGUCGACACCAUUGCGGACGCAGGGCACGGCACGGGGGCGAGAAGGCGAAGGCUGCAGGCGUGAGUGGAUGAUGCUGGCAAAAUAGAACAUGAUGGUUCCACUGGAGUGACCAUCGAUGCAGAAUCAGAAAUGGAUCCUUGUAAAGUGGAUAGCACUUGUCCUGAAGUCAUCAAGGUAUACAUUUUUAAAGCUGACCCUGGAGAAGAUGACUUAGGUGGAACUGUAGACAUUGUGGAGAGUGAACCUGAAAAUGAUCAUGGAGUUGAACUACUUGAUCAGAACAGCAGUAUUCGUGUUCCCAGGGAAAAGAUGGUUUAUAUGACUGUCAAUGACUCUCAACAAGAAGAUGAAGAUUUAAGUAAUAAUUCUGAUGGAAUUGAAAACCGGAAUGGCACUGCAAGUGCCCUCUUGCACAUAGAUGAGUCUGCUGGCCUUGGCAGACUGGCUAAACAGAAACCAAAGAAAAAGAGAA